rnacentral:rRNA from 1 species
AUUGAACGCUGGCGGCAGGCCUAACACAUGCAAGUCGAACGAGUGGCGGACGGGUGAGUAAUGUCUGGGAAACUGCCCGAUGGAGGGGGAUAACUACUGUAAACGGUAGCUAAUACCGCGUACCAUAGGAUGUGCACAGAUGGGAUUAGCUUGUAGGUGAGGUAACGGCGCAACUCGGCGACGAUCCAUAGAUGGUCUGAGAGGAUGACCAGCCACACGGGAACUGAGACACGUUCCAGACGCCUACGGGAGGCAGCAGUGGGGAAUAUUGCACAAUGGGCGCAAGCCUGAUCCAGCCAUGCCGCGUGUAUGAAGAAGGCCUUCGGGUUGUAAAGUACUUUCAGCGGGGAGGCGUUACCCGCAGAAGAAGCACCGGCUAACUCCGUGCCAGCAGCCGCGGUAAUAC